UACAGAGGGGGCAAGCGUUGUUCGGAAUUACUGGGCGUAAAGGGCGCGUAGGCGCCUUCUAAGUCGAACGUGAAAUCCCCGGGCUCAACCCGGGAACUGCGUCCGAUACUGGAAGGCUUGAAUCCGGGAGAGGGAUGCGGAAUUCCAGGUGUAGCGGUGAAAUGCGUAGAUAUCUGGAGGAACACCAAUAGCGAAGGCAGCUCGCUGGGACGUACUGACACUGAGGCGCGAAAGCGUGGGGAGCGAACAGG
rnacentral:rRNA from 1 species